UACGUAGGGUGCAAGCGUUAAUCGGAAUUACUGGGCGUAAAGCGUGCGCAGGCGGUCCGUUAAGACAGAUGUGAAAUCCCCGGCUUAACCUGGGAACUGCAUUUGUGACUGGCGGACUCGAGUAUGGCAGAGGGGGGGUAGAAUUCCACGUGUAGCAGUGAAAUGCGUAGAGAUGUGGAGGAAUACCGAUGGCGAAGGCAGCCCCCUGGGCCAAUACUGACGCUGCAUG
rnacentral:rRNA from 1 species